rnacentral:rRNA from 1 species
UACGGGGGGGGCAAGCGUUGUUCGGAAUUACUGGGCGUAAAGGGCUCGUAGGUGGCCAACUAAGUCAGACGUGAAAUCCCCAGGCUUAACCUGGGAACUGCGUCUGAUACUGGAUGGCUUGAAUUCGGGAGAGGGAUGCGGAAUUCCAGGUGUAGCGGUGAAAUGCGUAGAUAUCUGGAGGAACACCGGUGGCGAAGGCGGCAUCCUGGACCGAUAUUGACGCUGAGGCGCGAAAGCCAGGGGAGCAAACGGG